AAGACUAUACUUUCAGGGAUGACUUCUAUAGUUUGUUACUAGAGAAGUUUCUCUGACUGUGUAGAGCACCAGAACCAUGAGGAGAAGGUAUAGGUAGCGUUCUUUCCCAAGCAUGAAGCUGACUCUUGGUGCAGUUUUGCUGUAACUGCCACGUGCUAUUGAUGCUCAUUCUGCUCUCCUUCAGGAGAGGUGGAGGGAGAGGAUGCAGUCUGAGUUGG
ensembl:snoRNA U3 Small nucleolar RNA U3